GUCAAGACCAUGAACCACUCCUUGCCAUGCCGACGAUCCACCCGCAGGGAAAGAUGUAUCAUGAAGGGAGCCCUGUGGAAAAUUAUUCGCUUUGAGUAGCCGUGCAAAGAGAGUUUCCAGGAAUUGGAUUAAUCGCCAAGCUUGCGUUCCUAGUAACGUCUGAUUAAACGCCUUUAGGUCACAAAGGCCCAUGCCGCCAUGGGACUUUGGCAACAUCAACUUGUCCCAUGGGAUUCAAUGAAUUUUUCGGACUUUUUUCUCGUCGCCCCACAGGAAAUUUCAUAAAACCACAGAGGCCUGCUGAAAAUUUGAAAGAGUAAAUUUCAUAAAAUACAGGUUUUGUGGCAAGUUUUUCAUGGAGGCAUAGGUCGUCGGCCACCGCUGCCCAGCUAGCUUUUCCGCCUCCACCCCCUUCUGCUUACCUCCACGGAAAGCUCAGUUCCCAGUAAUGUCGAACAACAAGAAGAUUCACGAACAAGGAAUUGCUGCCCUGUCCCCUCGUCUGGAAUUACCGAAUUAGGAACCCGCUCCCAAUGCCCUGCAACGCCGCUACAAUUCAAUCAUUGGAGCAGGGACAAUCAGUAGUAUAAACCUGUGGCUCGCCGCUCGCCGUCCCCUCGUUGCAACGCGCUCGUCUUCCUCGUCUCCGGUGGCUCGCCGUCACGCCUCGAUCUACUCCGCCACGGCCUCCCCGACCUCACCGACCCGCGCGGGAGCUUCGCCUCGACCUCGCAAGGACACCUCCGCGGUCUCUUGAGGCCGGCGCGUCCUCAACAACCCCCGCCACGGAGCCCCUGCAUUGGCGCUGUACCUCACCGUCGCGGCGCCUGUUCCGACCACCCCUGCCCAGACCGACUGCGCCAUCGUCCUCCUGCUAGGCUGGCGCUGAACCAGGCGCACCAGCCACGGUACCACUCCUCGGGGUGACUUUGCUUAGGUUGGAGCUGAACUCAAGCUAGCUGGAGCUGAAAAAAACUAAUUUUCUGUUGGAGGUGAACAAGACUUGCUGUUCGUUUAGCAUGACAGAGAAACUGUGGCUGCUUCUAUAUGAAAGUGGAACGUCUGUAAUACCCCUGUUUGCUGCAAUUUUUGAUUAAACGCUGAGUUUGAUGAUGUAAGCGCAAAUGACGAGUUUAAGAGUC